rnacentral:rRNA from 1 species
AUUGAACGCUGGCGGAAUGCUUUACACAUGCAAGUCGAGCGGCAGCGCGGGGCAACCUGGCGGCGAGCGGCGAACGGGUGAGUAAUGUAUCGGAACGUGUCCUGUCGUGGGGGAUAGCCCGGUGAAAACCGGAUUAAUACCGCAUACGAUCGAGAGAUGAAAGUGGGGGACCGCAAGGCCUCACGCGAUAGGAGCGGCCGAUAUCUGAUUAGCUAGUUGGUGGGGUAAAGGCCCACCAAGGCUUCGAUCAGUAGCUGGUCUGAGAGGAUGAUCAGCCACACUGGGACUGAGACACGGCCCAGACUCCUACGGGAGGCAGCAGUGGGGAAUUUUGGACAAUGGGGGCGACCCUGAUUCAGCCAUUCCGCGUGAGUGAAGAAGGCCUUCGGGUUGUAAAGCUCUUUUGUCCGGGAAGAAACGGUUUCACCUAAUACGUGAGACUACUGACGGUACCGGAAGAAUAAGGACCGGCUAACUACGUGCCAGCCGCCGCGGUAAUAC